UACGUAGGGUGCAAGCGUUGUCCGGAAUUAUUGGGCGUAAAGGGCUCGUAGGCGGUUUGUCGCGUCGGGAGUGAAAUCCACUGGCUUAACUGGUGGCUUGCUUUCGAUACGGGCAGACUGGAGGUAUGCAGGGGAGAACGGAAUUCCUGGUGUAGCGGUGAAAUGCGCAGAUAUCAGGAGGAACACCGGUGGCGAAGGCGGUUCUCUGGGCCGAUACUGACGCUGAGGAGCGAAAGCGUGGGGAGCGAACAGG
rnacentral:rRNA from 1 species